rnacentral:ncRNA from 1 species
CCGGUUCCGGUUCACACCGUCGAGAGGCGACGGUGACCCGGCGGCC